UUGUAUGAUAAUAAUGUUCUAAAAUAUGAUUAUGCCGUCUGAUCUCGGAAGCUAAGCAGGGUCGGGCCUGGUUAGUACUUGGAUGGGAGACCACCUAGGAAGACCAGGUGCCGUAGGUG
rnacentral:rRNA from 1 species